AUGAGCUCGCGUCUGAUUAGCUAGUUGGUAGAGUAAGAGCCUACCAAGGCGACGAUCAGUAGCUGGUCUGAGAGGAUGAUCAGCCACACUGGGACUGAGACACGGCCCAGACUCCUACGGGAGGCAGCAGUGGGGAAUUUUCCGCAAUGGGCGAAAGCCUGACGGAGCAAUACCGCGUGAGGGAGGAAGGCUCUUGGGUUGUAAACCUUUUUUCUCAAGGAAGAAGAUAUGACGGUACUUGAGGAAUAAGCAUCGGCUAACUCCGUGCCAGCAGCCGCGGUAAUACGGAGGAUGCAAGCGUUAUCCGGAAUGAUUGGGCGUAAAGGGUCCGCAGGUGGCUAUGAAAGUCUGCUGUUAAAGAAUCUAGCUUAACUAGAUAAAAGCAGUGGAAACUACAAAGCUAGAGUGCGUUCGGGGUAGAGGGAAUUCCUGGUGUAGCGGUGAAAUGCGUAGAUAUCAGGAAGAACACCAGUGGCGAAGGCGCUCUACUAGGCCGCAACUGACACUGAGGGACGAAAG
rnacentral:rRNA from 1 species